AAAAUCCGUCGAUUUCAAAAAUCGUGAGG
rnacentral:tRNA from 3 species